GAGCAGAGACUGGGAGACCUCAUUCACCCCAUCCCUGUUCCUCUCUCUCAUUCUCAGCCCCAUCUUCUGGGUCCCUAGUGAGGGCCGGCUGCCACAGUGCAAUGCAGGGCCAGGUGGGCACCAGUUUAAUAAGUCCCUUGCUUCUGACAAAGCAGGCCAUCUGCAGCAAAGCGCUCCCUCCCAGAUACAGCUCCCUCCCUCCAGAGUGUGCAUCGGUGAUUAUUUGUCUGGACAUGUAAUCGCUAUGGCAAUAAAAGAGAGAAUCGCUGAGAUUAAUGGCCACAUGCAGCAGGUAGGAUAUCUGGUAAUAAGAGGUAAAACAAGCCCUUCUGGCAUCCAGAGGUGCUUCUGGGAGCCCAGUCCUCUGGCACCCCUUACCCCAGUUAGUGAAAUUAUUAUAAGAAACAAAAUAUAAUUGUUGCUGGUUAUUCUUUUCUCUUUUAAAAAAAAAA
rnacentral:lncRNA from 1 species